ACAGCUUACUGGCAGCAGAGAUACCAUACAUAAUAAAAUAGGUAGUUUUCCCGGGGCAAGAUUCAAAGGUUCUUUCAUCAUACCUAGCAUGUACUGACCCCUGCAAUUUCUACAAAUUUGGGAAAUAGGAUUGCAUAAUUUAUGGUAGCAGGAGCCUAUGUUCAUAUGAGCCCUCC
rnacentral:snRNA from 1 species